AGGAUGAACGCUGGCGGCGUGCCUAAUACAUGCAAGUCGAGCGAACAGAUAAGGAGCUUGCUCCUUUGACGUUAGCGGCGGACGGGUGAGUAACACGUGGGUAACCUACCUAUAAGACUGGAAUAACUCCGGGAAACCGGGGCUAAUGCCGGAUAAUAUUUAGAACCGCAUGGUUCUAAAGUGAAAGAUGGUUUUGCUAUCACUUAUAGAUGGACCCGCGCCGUAUUAGCUAGUUGGUGGGGUAAUGGCUUACCAAGGCAACGAUACGUAGCCGACCUGAGAGGGUGAUCGGCCACACUGGAACUGAGACACGGUCUAGACUCCUACGGGAGGCAGCAGUAGGGAAUCUUCCGCAAUGGGCGAAAGCCUGACGGAGCAACGCCGCGUGAGUGAUGAAGGUCUUCGGAUCGUAAAACUCUGUUAUUAGGGAAGAACAAAUGUGUAAGUAACUGUGCACGUCUUGACGGUACCUAAUCAGAAAGCCACGGCUAACUACGUGCCAGCAGCCGCGGUAAUACGUAGGUGGCAAGCGUUAUCC
rnacentral:rRNA from 1 species